GAUCUUGGUCCAAUAUCACAGCUGCAAAUCCUGAUGAAGUUGAUUUCAACUUAUUUUGGCUAGCGAUGCAAGUAUUGCGAAAUGAGUGGGACUUCGUCAAGGUCCUUUUGAAUGUUCAAGAGUUGAUGCAGGUGAUGAAAACAUGCACCAGAUUCAUGAAAAUCAAUGAUUGUUUCUGAAAAAGUUGAUAGACCUGAUGCAUCAACAGAAGCAGUAAUGUGAUUAAAAGAUAUUUUUAUUAAGGUUGUAGGUUGUGUUUUUUUACAUAUAAAACAUUUUAAAAGUAAAAUUCAAUCUUUUUUUUUUACCAUUGAAGCAUUAUUUUUGCUAAAAAUAAGGAUGUGCUCCCUCUUUGAUUAAAAUCAUUUAAAAGACUUGUUAAAUCAUCUAUGUAGGCCCAUUUAUUAUGUCAUAUAUGUUGGACCUAAAAAAAAAUUAGAAGACAUCUUAAUAAGAAAUGUUCUUUCUGCCCUGAAUUCACAGAUUACCUCUGCAGUUAAACAGUGAUCUUCCACAUUCUUACAACAUAUUGAAAUAUAAACAUAUUUGGCUCAGUUAUGCUAGUGACACAUGUGCGAGAUACCAUGGCUCACAGUUACCCUAGCGGCACAUGUACAGGAUACCGUAUGGGAGCUCCACUACAUGGCAUGCAUUGCAGGUACAUGAUAUCUUCAAUUAUUUCUUGGAUCCCACGACGGAGAAAUGAUCUUGGAUGAAGAGGAUACCACGACAGAGAAAUAGGAUCAUGGAUGAAUAGGAUACCACGACAGAGAAAUAGGAUCAUGGAUGAAUAGGAUACCACGACAGAGAAAUAGGAUCAUGGAUGAAUAGGGAAAAUCGCAACAAUCCUGGCAAGAUCCUGAUGUGCAUGACUGAAACACAAGUUCGCCUCUGAUCUCUUGUCAAGGCAAGUUGGAAAUAAAAUGGAACAUCGUCACGCUGUUGAAGGCAUUCUGUUUCAGGUGCUGUUAUUUGGAAGAAAGCAGGACUCAGUGCAUCAAAUAUUGUACAUGUAGAUGAUCUCUCCCUCCUGAUGCUGUUUUGAAAAGAUAUUUUCACAUCCUAACAACAGUAUUAUCCAUGCUAAACAGAACAAAUUGUUUGACCAAGGGUAUCUUCAAGUAGCAUGGUCGUUUCAAAAGAUUGAUGUUAUUUGGCGAUGCUACAAACUGGGUAUUGUCCAGAGCUGCAGCAAACUUUUAAUGUAAUAUGAUGUUGGCUUAUCGUCCAGAGCUACUGCCAACUUUUGGUGCACAAAAUGGAACACAUCUCUCUUGAAAGGUCUUAUUUUUCACCAGAAUUGAGAACAAGUGAUCAAAGAUAUAGAAGACCCAAGCCUGAGCUGUGAGAUGACUUCAUUGUGGCCUUCAGCCAAAAUUGAGAUACUCCAUUCACAUGCACGUUAUGGUGUGAUUUUGUUUUUACGUCCUACUUUGCUUUGCCAGCUAGAGUGUGAGUAAGCCUACCAACAGCGGAGUGAUGGCGAUAAGUGUUGCAUUCCCAACGGUCAUCCAAAGCAGUAAAUUCGCUGACAAGGAGCGCUCACUGUCUGCCCUUGUAAAGUCAACAAGGCAAAUAUGAAGCUGGAAAUUUCCUGGGAAUGACUUGAUGCUUCCACGGUACAUCAAAGAGGGGCAAACAGCUGUAAGAUAAGUACGAGAUGGCCCAAAUCAAGACUGCAAAUCGAUAAGGACUUGCUUGACUUCCUGAGGCAGGCACUUAGCAGGUGAGAUACAUAGAGUAUGAGUGUGAGUUGGUCUGAAUCAUCAAGACAGCAAAACGAUGAGGACUUGACUGGAGGCAGAUAUAUUUCAGAACAUUAACAAAGAGACACCUGCAAAAACUUUGGAAGUGAGAAGAUAUGUCAAG